rnacentral:rRNA from 1 species
CCUACGGGUGGCAGCAGUGGGGAAUUGUUCGCAAUGGGCGCAAGCCUGACGACGCAACGCCGCGUGGAGGAUGAAGGUCUUCGGAUUGUAAACUCCUGUUGCCCGGGACGAACAGCACCGACUCAACACGUCGGUGUCCGACGGUACCGGGUGAGGAAGCCACGGCUAACUCUGUGCCAGCAGCCGCGGUAAUACAGAGGUGGCAAGCGUUGUUCGGAAUUACUGGGCGUAAAGGGCGCGUAGGCGGCCUUCUAAGUCGGACGUGAAAUCCCCAGGCUUAACUUGGGAACUGCGUCCGAUACUGGAGGGCUCGAGUGCGGGAGAGGGAUGUGGAAUUCCAGGUGUAGCGGUGAAAUGCGUAGAUAUCUGGAGGAACACCGGUGGCGAAGGCGGCAUCCUGGACCGACACUGACGCUGAGGCGCGAAAGCUAGGGGAGCAA